CUAAAUUCUCUCCCGCAAAAAUGUUAUACCCUCUCGUACUCUCUCAUACCUAGAAAUUAGAUUAAAGAAAACAAUUCAUACGGCCACCAUCACUUUGCUCUCUAAAUUAAAUUUCCGGCCAGCAUCACUUUGCUCUCUAAAUCACCAUCGGCAACCAAAUUUCUGGCCACCAUCAAAAUUCUUGGUUUCGAGAUUGUUGCAGAAAUUGUUCUUAUCGUUCACUUUUUUAUCUUCAUCAUCAAAGUAUUCUGCCUACCAGGUCAUACUGUCUGAUGUUGGAUAAUUUAGCGAGUGAAAGAUUUCAAAAUCAUAAAAACUAUCAUUCGUCUGGAUUAGUUAUAUAAUGACAUUGGCUAUUUGGUCUAAACAAUAUAUUUUUAUGUUUUAAAUUACUGUGAUACUAAUGUUUUUGAUUAGUACUUUCUUUUGUUUGUUAAGAUUAAUGAGAUACAUUAUG